CUUCCUGUCAAUUGGAUGUGUGCAUAGCAUGGGAGCUUCAAUGGUACAUCUCAGCUUUUUUGGUUAUCCCCAGCUGUUCCUUAUAUUUCCGCGUAAUAACUCUUUCUUGUACCCAAUGCAAUACCGAAUAGGGAUCGUAUAGAAGCUCAGAGGCUGCACCUGUCAUUCACAUAGACAGCUGCCAUUUCAGGUCUGUCGUAGGAGUGGCACGCCCCAGAAAGCUCGCCUUCGUGCAUAGCGUUUGCCAGCAGCAUUUCCAGCGAAACAUUACAAAAGCAUAAGCUGCAGCUGCCCGGAAGCGUGAGAAGCAGCCACGGCUCUUUUAAUGCUAUCGUGUUCCACUCUUAAAGGCGCAGCUUAAGUGUCCUCCAACCUUUUUUUUUUUUUUCGCUGUUUGGGGACUGCCUUCUUGAAGGUGUUGCAUCGUUUCCUUUCUACUGUAGGGCGAAUGCAAUAUCUGCUUUGAACAACAGCAAAGCUGCGUUUUGAUUGCACUUGAUGCUGGCCGCACUAGCGCGGCAUCUCUUCUGAACACUAUCCAGCAGUUCACUAUGAUGUUAUCACUGAAAUAGAAUACACAGGACACCUUCGUGUACCACUUCAUCUACCUCGAAGUAAUAUGCCAUAGCUCUAUGAUCAUAUCCUUAACAUCCACUACUUUCUUGGAUUCAUUUCAGAUAGCUGGAAUGUACAGACUAAAAAAGCUCGGAAGCGCUUGCACUGUUUGGAGAAUUUUGUAUGAGCAUUUUCAGGCUGUUCUGGUGACACUAAAAAAUACUGGCUCUCCUGUAAUCGAGAGUAGAUGAAAGCAUGAAAUGGCUGCCGACAAAGCAGAUUGAUUGUAGAUGAUACCAGCCACCAUCUUAAAAUGGGUGUAGCGCACAUUCGCAACGGCACACCCCACCCCACUGCAUCACGCAACUGUACACUGGUCCAUAUGGAAGCAAGUUUCCUGUCGAAGACAGAACCCCAUUGCAAGUCUCGUCUCGGUCCACCAUAUGUGCCGUAGACCUCGCAGACUGCUGGCAUUGAAAAGAGCACAAGCAACUGUGUCUCAGUGCCAAAAAAUGACAAUCAAGUGUACAGUGCCUUGUAUCUGCCUCAGAACGUCGCUAUUAGAAGCGACAAAUAAAACUUCAGCGUACUAGAAGUUACAGCUUGAGUGAUAUUGUGAGCAAAUAUUUAGAACUCGGAAGCAAUAUUUUUUGUAACAUGUUUGGGAAGUAACUAGCAUAUUUAUUGCAGUCUUGACUGUUUGCCCGGAUGAGCUGGUUUGAGUGCCAGGAUAAUGGCUCUGGCUUUUGGUUCAUUGAAGGUGGCUGACAACAGGAGCUAAAAGCAUUUCAUGCUUAAAAUGUCUGCAGCAGCGGCACUGUUCAGUUAAUCAAGGACCUCAUUUCAUGGCCCUCAUUCUGACACCUUCGAACACUGUUUCUGCCUUUGUAACGCUUCCUAGAAUUUAUCCUUCAAAUUCUUAUGUGAAAGAACCAUGCAUCAAUUCUGGCGUAUUUCUCAAACUGUACGAGCAGAAUUGCUGCUGAUUUCAUAAAUACAACCUGUAAAUCGAUACAGCAGAAUUGUUAGUUGAAAUAUGUAAUCCAAAUCAAGGAGCCAUUCUCAAGACGAUGUUCCUGCUGGCACUGAUGCGUGUCAUUCCUGGCAUUGGUGAAAUCUUUAUUCUACAUUAUAAAGCAUGAAACAUUCACACGUGCUCUUCUUUCCUUCUUUUUUGAGCUUUGCUGUUUCAAGGAGCUUUGCCCUUUGAGUGGCAGCAGCCUGAUUGACAUAACUUCUGACUCACGUAUUUAACAUUUUUGCACAGAUUGGUCAAGGAGUAGCCAGAUUUUGAGAAGUACAUGUUUAGCAGAGUCUAUAGGUGCUGGCUUUUGGUGUGGAGAGACAAGCAGCUUCAUAGCUUCCCUCCUGUCUCUUGUCAUUGUGUCAGCAAACUGAAAUGAAAACUCUCGAAACAGUAUAUUUGUUAAUGAGGAAUCUUUGCAAGGUACAUUGUGAAGCACAUGCCGAUGAACUGCUUCAACCUUUUACAUUAAACAAAUUAUGCCAUGUGCUGUCGAGAGGCAAAUAAAGCUGUUCGCUUUAAAAAUUAACAAUAAUCACCACAGUUUGUGAAGUGAUUGAGAUAUUGUUACCCAGUACCUUCAACAAAGAUGUUAUGGGAAACAGUGCAAGGAACUAGCAUACUUACACUAAUUGCAAGUAUUUGGCGGAGUUGUGUGGGAGACAAGAUAGCCAACCAAUUUACCUUUAAUGCAUGUGAGCUUUGUCAUCUUCAUGGUGUAAUGUAAUCUUUUCAGGUAGCGGAUAAAGAAUGUUUGGCAACAUGAAAUGGCCUUUGACGACACAGGCGAGUAGUGGAUGCCACACUUCAGUUCUAAUUAAAGUUACAUCAGCACAGAGCAUGUAUGCUACGACCAAGUUGGGUCCAUACUUUGGAUUACCAUGUACAGUGUCACUCUCUUCUGCAUUCCAGAAGAUGGAAGCCAGUGUUUCUUUGCUGUUGCCAUUUCAAUUUAGUAUAUUUUCAUGUUUUCAUGCUCUGCAAAUUACAGCCAGAGGUUGCACGGUCUCGAAAUGAAGACUACUUUUUGUGUUUUCAAGAUAAAAUUUUAGCUAUAAUAAACGGAAUUUCCAAAAAACAA